GGCGUGUAGAGAGUACUAGGCUCUCUGCAGGAUAGAUUUUGCUAUUUUGGAACAAACCAACGAGUUACUGAUCAUGAGGGGUUCUUGAAGUGAAGAGAGCUUGGCACUCUUUCUAUGAUGCCCCAUUCUGACUAGACUUCGCUGCAUACUUGUACAUUACUCAAAGUUGAUUGUCGUGCGUUAACUAAAAAAUGCACAAAUAACAAAUAUGAAACUAUCC
rnacentral:lncRNA from 1 species